ACUACUCCAUCGCGCAGUCUCCCAAAACGAUCGGCGAGAAGUUUUUGUUGCUCUCCCCGUGGUCAUUCUCGGAAAGACUGAUCUUGGUGGGGUUUUGGUCAUUAUUUCUACUCUGAACUUUGUUACGGGAGUUGCAAUGGGAAAUCUUGCGUUUCUCUCAUGUUUGGCGGCUCAGUAAUUGGGGGAAGAUUUCUCCUUUCGCUGCUGAUAGUAGAAAUUUCCAGGUUUUGAGAACCUGCAUUGACAAUUUCUGCAAGGGGUGGAGAAGGGUGAAAGUGGCGGAUGCAAACAAGAAGCUGAUGCUAGAAGAUGUUUUUUGGGCGAUAUAACUAACCUGGGGAAAAGAGGGCUUCUUUUAGAUCCAAAAAAGGCUUUUUUUUUCAGGACAAAAGAUUGACAAAAGCAUGGAAGAAACUAUCGAGGAUAGUUUUGGAGGAGAAUUAGAUGGAAAGGAAAGAGCUUCUAUGGAAUGGAAGAAAAACAUGGAUGAUAAACAUGGUUCUUUGCUCAACAUAAAUCGGAGAGGCUGUUUCCCUUUCUAUGCUAAGCAGACAUGCCAACCUAUGCCUUCCAAUAUCAUAGGUAACUAUGUCCAUGGAAAUAUGACAUCUGAUUCCAUUUCCUUGCAAAAGAGUUCUGAUUCAUUAGCAAAUGAAGCUACUAACAAGUUAAAACUAGGCUUUAUAUCCACCAGGUCUGUGCCUCCACAAUUUGAUAACUUGUUUGUAACUGAUCCAGAAGAAGACUAUUUAGAUGGUCAUAACUCCGAUAGUGCUGGUUCCACUAGAUACUUUUUCCAGACAAAAGAUAUUGAAAAUAAUUCUACUGCAUCAAAAUCUACUGGCACAGAUUGUACAAUAUUGAAGGAAGGCAAUCUUGAUAGCUGUGAUAACCCCUUGAAGUGCCAAAAACCAUCUGGCUCAUUGAAAGGCAGUAUGGAUACUGGUAUAAAUGAUCCCAGUUGUGGCAAAGUUAGAAUGCCGGAAGAAUCUUGUAAAUGCUCUUUUUGUCUCAAAGCUGCUUACAUAUGGGCAGACCUGCAUUAUCAGGAUACUAGAGCCAAACUCGCUCAAUUGAAGAAAAGUAAAAGGCUUGCAAGGUCUUUAAAAGCACGAAGUUGCAGCAACAAAAGUAGUAUCAAGACUGCUCAAAGCAUCUCAAAUAGAUCCCCCUCACUGGAGUCUCAAUUAACUCAAGAAUGGCAACCACUUUUCCUUUUCACAGAGAAUAUCAUUGUGCGUGAAACUGCUGAGCUUGUGGUUUUCAUUUGAUUGGAAAUCUUUUCUUUUAUGAUAUGAGGAUUUGCAUUUUAUGGUUCACAGAUGGAAUUUUAUCAAAAGCAUGACAAAUUCCUCAGGCUGAAAGAGUUGAAGGAGAAUUGCAAGAGAGAUUUGGAGAAAAUUAGCUGGAUUCCUUCAUAGAUAUGAUAUCAUAAAUCAUUUCCAAUUUUUUUGAUUCAGCUGUUAGCAUUAUAGAUAUUUUGGAAUAUAUGGAUAUCUUGGAAUAUAUGGUGCAUAAAUAUUAGGAUAUCUUUUGUAUA